rnacentral:rRNA from 1 species
CAGUAGCCGCGGUAAUACGUAGGUGGCAAGCGUUGUCCGGAAUUAUUGGGCGUAAAGCGCGCGCAGGCGGAUCAGUCAGUCUGUCUUAAAAGUUCGGGGCUUAACCCCGUGAUGGGAUGGAAACUGCUGAUCUAGAGUAUCGGAGAGGAAAGUGGAAUUCCUAGUGUAGCGGUGAAAUGCGUAGAUAUUAGGAAGAACACCAGUGGCGAAGGCGACUUUCUGGACGAAAACUGACGCUGAGGCGCGAAAGCCAGGGGAGCGAACGGGAUUAGAUACCCCCGUAGUCCCUGUCUCUUAUACA